rnacentral:rRNA from 1 species
UACGUAGGGCGCAAGCGUUAUCCGGAAUUAUUGGGCGUAAAGAGCUCGUAGGCGGUUUGUCGCGUCUGCCGUGAAAGUCCGGGGCUCAACUCCGGAUCUGCGGUGGGUACGGGCAGACUAGAGUGAUGUAGGGGAGACUGGAAUUCCUGGUGUAGCGGUGAAAUGCGCAGAUAUCAGGAGGAACACCGAUGGCGAAGGCAGCUCACUGGGACGGUACUGACGCUGAGGAGCGAAAGCGUGGGGAGCGAACAGG